rnacentral:rRNA from 1 species
ACUCCUACGGGAGGCAGCAGUGGGAAUAUUGGACAAUGGGCAGAAAGCCUGAUCCAGCCAUGCCGCGUGUGUGAAGAAGGCCUUCGGGUUGUAAAGCACUUUCAGUGAGGAAGAAAGCUUGAGUUAAUACCUUGAGGGAGGACAUCACUCACAUGAAGAAGCACCUGGCUAACUCCGUGCCAGCAGCCGCGGUAAUACGGAGGGUGCGAGCGUUAAUCGGAAUUACUGGGCGU